rnacentral:siRNA from 1 species
UAAGGUCUUGAAGGUGGAGGUCUC